GGGAGCUCCAAACUCUGCAGGGGCGCUCGGGGCUGCUGGUCCUCUGGCGGGUUUUCAGGUGUUGCUCCUACCGAGGGACCACAGGCAGGCACCUUGUCUCGAGACGCGGAAGAGCCGACUCCUCUUCUUGCCUCCGCGCCGCCCGGACACCCUGCAGGGCGCCUUAGCUCCUGGCCGGGAAAGUGGGGCUAUUGGCCUCAGCCUCUCGACAGAUGCAGCGAUGGGGGGCCGUGGAUUCCAUGAGGAGAAACAUUUCCAUGAAAGGAUCAUCACUGGCCCUGCUGGGUGGGUGAGUUCCCAGCGAGGGCAGGCCUGGGAGCUCAGGAAUGUAACUGCCCACAGGGGACUUUGCUGGACCAAGGGGACUGAUGAGCACUCGGGGCGGGCAGAAGUGUGGGCACCCAGGGAGUAAAGGCAGCUGGAACUGUCAGGGCAUCUGGUCAUCACCCGACAGGGUCAAGCUCCUGGAAUCUCCAGGUACCGUGGGACUCUGAGCUCUGGGCUCCGGCCGCUGUGUGAGGUUUUAUCCUUGCCUAUCUUCCUACAAAAGUCCAGAAGGCUGGAGUUCCCGUCAUGGCACAGUGGAAGCGAAUCCGACUAGGAACCAUGAGGUUG
rnacentral:lncRNA from 1 species